GAGAGCUAAAAGCACUGCUAGGGAGAGUCAGGAUGGGGUAGGAUGUGGGUAAUAAAGAGAGAGAAAUAGGAGAGGAGGACAACAGCCAACAUGUGAGGUUGACAGCAAACACAGAUGCAGAAGCAGGUCAGGUCAGAAAAGCACAUUUCCUUAGAAAUAGGCCUCAUUUCUAUUCUUCUGUGCUUUGUAGACAGGACAUCAGCCGGCAGCAAGCACAGAGGCACUGAUCCAGAGUGGCUGAGAAUGCCUCAAAGACUUGGCUGUACCACACACAGCAUGGGAUGUUUUGUUGACUGUGCAGGCACCACAUGCCUGCAAAUAAGAAAGGCAGGGCAAAGAGAGCUUUUCUUGAGGUCGGAGCGACUAUAUACAGAAAAGAUUACUUGGAACGGCACGUCACUGAAGCACCACCAGGAGCGCAUCAGAUGUCAGGCCUCUUGUUUCAUCUGGCAUCUCAAUGAUGGAUUCCUUUGAGCCAACUGUUGUUUUAGAGCACGAGGCAAUCAUUGGUGGGUUCAAGGGCCUUUACUGGCUCAUUAAAAAAGUAACUGGCCCCCCACACAAACGACCCAAAGCUUUUGAGCCUGGCUGAGCUUCUAGGAUGUAACUAUUUCAAGAGAUUAAAGAUUGACCAGAGGAAUAAUUAUAGAUCUCAUCGUAUCAUUGACAGAAUGCUUGAGAUCUUAGCAGGAGUCAUCGAGGAGCCGAUUCUCACUGAGAUCAAAUCAUCACAGGCAUU